CUCAACUGUCAUCAAUACGACUAACUUCAUGAGUAACUUUGAUACGAGAAUUAUAAAAAAAAAUAUGCAUUGAAAUCCAGAUCCCGUAAUUUUCUGAGCGUUAUUGGGAUAAACCGUAAUCGUACCCCCUCCUAACUCUAACUGCCAAAGUGUCAUGGCCGCCGUCGGGACCUAUUGUGCUGACAUUUACAAUGUUUACAUAUAGAAAAGUUUGUUUUUUUCUGCUUAUAAUGCCGUUUUCUAAAGAUAUUAGUGAACAAAAUCGAUUUGCUAACAAUAUUUAAUAUAUUUUAAAUGUGCUAAAAUUGGAUUCAACAGCAAAAGUCGCAUAAAUAACAUAUAAAUAACGAAUUUGUUCACCUAUUACAAAUGGGGUUAUGUGGUUGUAACUGUUUAUUUUGGGAAUAAAAUGAAAAUGAUCAAUUAAACGACUGGAAAACUAUAGUGAAGUGAAGAACAUCUUGAAGUUCCAAUGAUGUUUCAAGAUGAGGUAAAUCGAAAUAAUUGUAUGUUAGAAGGACAGAGAAUAUGAAGAAAUGUUAUUGCUGCAUAUUUAGUGUAGUGAAAUACAAACUUCAAACAUUAUAAUAUAUUUUUUGAUUUCAAACAUUUCAUAUGAUUAUGAAAGAACAUCUUUCUUUUUAAAACAAUGAAGAAGUGAAGAACAUAAUAAAGUUCCAACGAAAAUGAUUCCAGAUGAGGAAAAUCGAAAUAAUGGUUGUAUGUUACAUGUAUAGAGAAUACGAAGAAAUGUUAUUGCUGCAAACUUAGUGUAGUGAAUUAAAAACUUAUUGUCAAAUACAAAUCAAUUUAUUUCAUACUUUUAUAAUAUAUAGUGAUAUAAUUUUAUAUGUGUUCAAAUAAAAAUAUUAAUAAAUAAAAUACAAUAAACACAAA
rnacentral:lncRNA from 1 species